rnacentral:rRNA from 1 species
AUGCUCAGUGUUGCUUUACGCUACAAGAGUGUAUUUAAUCGCUUGAGGCAGCGGGAAAAGACCUUUACUUUUGCUCCUAGUGAUGAUGAUUGGAAAUUUUGUGGAGAAGUCUAUGAUAGGCUUAAGUUGUUUGCUAACAUUACUGAAAUACUUUCUGGGACUCAGUAUGUGACUGCUAAUAUUUACUUUCCUAAGAUCUGUGAAAUUAAAAUGAAUAUAAGGAAGUGGUCGAAGUGUGGGAAUGAAAUUAUAGAAGCUAUGUCAGAUGCUAUGAGUGCAAAAUUUGACAAGUACUGGUCUGAUAUCCAAGGCCUCAUGGGUAUUGCUACACUCCUUGAUCCACGGUUUAAGAUUGAUAUGCUGCAUGUGUGCUUUGAAAUGCUCCUUGGUGACGAGUCCAUUAUUGAUUGUGAGAGUAAAGUUCAUGAGAUCCGUGAGUUAGUGUCUAGCCUGAUGCUUGAAUAUCAAAUGGAGAGUGAGCAAGAGAAUACAGAAGCCCAGUCUGUGUCCAUUUCUGCAAUGGAAGCUAACGAGGUGAUGUCCAUCUUCAGUGCACGAGUAGCUAGAAAGAGGCCUGCACCCAGUUUAUCCAGAACAGAGUUAGACCGCUACUUGGAUGAUGAGUAUGUGCCAGCUAAUCAAGAGAAUUUUGAUGUGUUGGGAUGGUGGAAUGUUGCUGAUUCACGCUACCCAACUUUGAGGGCUAUUGCGCGUGAUAUAUUUGCCAUCCCAGUAACUACAAUAGCUUCCGAGUCAGCUUUCAGUAGAAGUGGAAGAGUACUUAGUGAGCACCGCAGUCGUCUGACCCCUGAUUUGCUAGAGGCUUUAAUGCGUUCACAAAACUGGGAGAGAAACAAAGCUAAAGAUGAUGAGAAGACCGAGGCUGCUAGUUUCUGGAGUUGCCUUGAUGAUAUACAAGAAGGUUUAGAGCGCAUCACACUAUAG